rnacentral:tRNA from 1 species
CAUCGGAUAGCUCAGUUGGCUAGAGCUGGUGGUUGAAAGCCCCACCUUAAUGUAGAAGGAAAGUCGUAGGUUCGAAUCCUGCUCCGAUGG